rnacentral:rRNA from 1 species
UACGUAGGGACCGAGCGUUGUCCGGAAUCAUUGGGCGUAAAGAGCGUGUAGGCGGCUAUUUAAGUCCUGCGUGAAAUCCUGCGGCUCAACCGCAGACGGUCGUGGGAAACGGGAUGACUAGAGAUCGGGAGAGGAGAGUGGAAUUCCCAGUGUAGAGGUGAAAUUCGUAGAUAUUGGGAAGAACACCGGUGGCGAAGGCGGCUCUCUGGACCGAUACUGACGCUGAGGCGCGAAAGCGUGGGGAGCAAACAGG